UACGGGAGGCAGCAGUGGGGAAUAUUGCACAAUGGGCGCAAGCCUGAUGCAGCCAUGCCGCGUGUAUGAAGAAGGCCUACGGGUUGUAAAGUACUUUCAGUCGUGAGGAAGGUGUUAAGGUUAAUAACCUUAGCAAUUGACGUUAGCGACAGAAGAAGCACCGGCUAACUCCGUGCCAGCAGCCGCGGUAAUACGGAGGGUGCGAGCGUUAAUCGGAAUUACUGGGCGUAAAGGGCACGCAGGCGGUUAAUUAAGUUGGAUGUGAAAUCCCCGGGCUUAACCUGGGAAUGGCAUUCAGGACUGGUUAGCUAGAGUCUUGUAGAGGGGGUAGAAUUCCAUGUGUAGCGGUGAAAUGCGUAGAGAUGUGGAGGAAUACCGGUGGCGAAGGCGGCCCCUGGGACAAAGGACUGACGCUCAUGUGCGAAAGCGUGGGGAGCGAACAGGAUUAGAUAC
rnacentral:rRNA from 1 species